rnacentral:tRNA from 1 species
ACCUGGGUGGCUCAGUUGGUUGAGCACCUGACUCUUGAUUUCGGCUCAGGUUGUGAUCCCCAGGUC